AUGUGGGUUGUUCCCGAUUGGCCAGGACCAAUCCUCGACGACAGUCAGGACCAAUCCCCUCCCGAAAACCUAGCACGCUCGGGGCCAAUCCUCUCCGUCCUCGAGCCCCUCUUCUUCUCCCUCCACGCCAUCUCGCCGUUCCCAUCUCGCCUCCCUCGCGCUCGCACCGCCGCCUUCUCUCCCCGGUGCUCGAGCUGUAGCAGCUGGGGCGCCGGUCCUCGAUCUUCGCGCCGCCACCUCUCCUCCUCUCUCUCGCCCAUGCCGCCACUGUUGCAAGGAGCAGGGGAGAUAGGCGACGAGGACAAGAAGCAGCAGGCUGGUCGCGGUGGGCUUGAGGUGCUGGGAGGACGGAGGAGUCCAUCGUGGUUCGUCAUGGAGGCGGCGCCGCCGGCCAGGGGACAUCGUUGGUGCGCUCGGUGCAGGUUCUUCUUUUUCAUGAAACCGGCCUCAUUCUCCCGUUCUUGCUAUCUUGUGCGAUUUUUUUUAUGCGAUUUGAUUCUUCUCUUUCUUUUCCUCUUGCAGGAUCGUCGGGGCUGCUCUCGUUCGUUCAGUUUGUCACUGUUCCUUUCGCUCUACUCCUGCUCAAGAGGCUUACUUGCAGUCCCUAAGCAAGGCUCUGUCGCACUACCACAAGGCCCAACUGCUGCUCCUCGACAUCACAGACUUCUCGCUGUGGGUCAGCAGCAAGAGAUCAAAUCCAGAGCAAGUAUGAGAGCUCCAGUAAGGCCAUCGUCCAGAACCAGUCCAUGUCUGAGACGACGUUUGGAAGGGUGUCCGAUUUCAUCGCACCUUUUGCAAUGUUUCCUAAGAUGGAUGAGCCUAGAGGUACCAGAACAAUACAAUUCAAUCUCUUCUCAUGUUUCUGCAAGAGUAGAUACAGUGUACUGUGUUGGAUAUGCUGAUUCGUUUUGA
rnacentral:rRNA from 1 species